GAACGCUGGCGGCGUGCCUAACACAUGCAAGUCGAACGGAGUUUCCAGCAAUGGAUUCUUAGUGGCGAACGGGUGAGUAACGCGUAGACAACCUACCUUCUAGAUGGGGACAACACCGCGAAAGUGGUGCUAAUACCGAAUGUUGUAGUGAUGAUGCAUAUCGUUAUUACUAAAGAUGGCCUCUAUAUAUAAGCUAUCGCUAGAAGAUGGGUCUGCGUCUGAUUAGCUAGUUGGUGGGGUAAUGGCUCACCAAGGCGACGAUCAGUAGCCGGUCUGAGAGGAUGAACGGCCACACUGGGACUGAGACACGGCCCAGACUCCUACGGGAGGCAGCAGUGGGGAAUCUUCCGCAAUGGACGAAAGUCUGACGGAGCAACGCCGCGUGAGUGAAGAAGGUUUUCGGAUCGUAAAGCUCUGUUUUCAGGGACGAAUGUGCAGAAUGUGAAUAAUGUUUUGUAAUGACGGUACCUGAGUAGAAAGCCACGGCUAACUACGUGCCAGCAGCCGCAGUAAAAC
rnacentral:rRNA from 1 species